rnacentral:rRNA from 1 species
GACGAACGCUGGCGGCGUGCUUAACACAUGCAAGUCGAACGGAAAGGCCCUGCUUUUGUGGGGUGCUCGAGUGGCGAACGGGUGAGUAACACGUGAGUAACCUGCCCUUGACUUUGGGAUAACUUCAGGAAACUGGGGCUAAUACCGGAUAGGAGCUCCUGCUGCAUGGUGGGGGUUGGAAAGUUUCGGCGGUUGGGGAUGGACUCGCGGCUUAUCAGCUUGUUGGUGGGGUAGUGGCUUACCAAGGCUUUGACGGGUAGCCGGCCUGAGAGGGUGACCGGCCACAUUGGGACUGAGAUACGGCCCAGACUCCUACGGGAGGCAGCAGUGGGGAAUAUUGCACAAUGGGCGGAAGCCGGAUGCAGCAACGCCGCGUGCGGGAUGACGGCCUUCGGGUUGUAAACCGCUUUCGCCUGUGACGAAGCGUGAGGGACGGUAAUGGGUAAAGAAGCACCGGCUAACUACUU